rnacentral:rRNA from 1 species
UUAAGUUAUUAAGGGCGCACGGUGGAUGCCUUGGCACUAGAAGCCGAUGAAGGACGUUACUAACGACGAUAUGCUUUGGGGAGCUGUAAGUAAGCUUUGAUCCAGAGAUUUCCGAAUGGGGAAACCCAGCAUGAGUUAUGUCAUGUUAUCGAUAUGUGAAUACAUAGCAUAUCAGAAGGCACACCCGGAGAACUGAAACAUCUUAGUACCCGGAGGAAGAGAAAGAAAAUUCGAUUCCCUUAGUAGCGGCGAGCGAAACGGGAAGAGCCCAAACCAACAAGCUUGCUUGUUGGGGUUGUAGGACACUCUAUACGGAGUUACAAAGGACGACAUUAGACGAAUCAUCUGGAAAGAUGAAUCAAAGAAGGUAAUAAUCCUGUAGUCGAAAAUGUUGUCUCUCUUGAGUGGAUCCUGAGUACGACGGAGCACGUGAAAUUCCGUCGGAAUCUGGGAGGACCAUCUCCUAAGGCUAAAUACUCUCUAGUGACCGAUAGUGAACCAGUACCGUGAGGGAAAGGUGAAAAGCACCCCGGAAGGGGAGUGAAAUAGAACCUGAAACCGUGUGCUUACAAGUAGUCAGAGCCCGUUAAUGGGUGAUGGCGUGCCUUUUGUAGAAUGAACCGGCGAGUUACGAUUUGAUGCAAGGUUAAGCAGUAAAUGUGGAGCCGUAGCGAAAGCGAGUCUGAAUAGGGCGUUUAGUAUUUGGUCGUAGACCCGAAACCAGGUGAUCUACCCUUGGUCAGGUUGAAGUUCAGGUAACACUGAAUGGAGGACCGAACCGACUUACGUUGAAAAGUGAGCGGAUGAACUGAGGGUAGCGGAGAAAUUCCAAUCGAACCUGGAGAUAGCUGGUUCUCUCCGAAAUAGCUUUAGGGCUAGCCUCAAGUGAUGAUUAUUGGAGGUAGAGCACUGUUUGGACGAGGGGCCCCUCUCGGGUUACCGAAUUCAGACAAACUCCGAAUGCCAAUUAAUUUAACUUGGGAGUCAGAACAUGGGUGAUAAGGUCCGUGUUCGAAAGGGAAACAGCCCAGACCACCAGCUAAGGUCCCAAAAUAUAUGUUAAGUGGAAAAGGAUGUGGCGUUGCCCAGACAACUAGGAUGUUGGCUUAGAAGCAGCCAUCAUUUAAAGAGUGCGUAAUAGCUCACUAGUCGAGUGACACUGCGCCGAAAAUGUACCGGGGCUAAACAUAUUACCGAAGCUGUGGAUUGUCCUUUGGACAAUGGUAGGAGAGCGUUCUAAGGGCGUUGAAGCAUGAUUGUAAGGACAUGUGGAGCGCUUAGAAGUGAGAAUGCCGGUGUGAGUAGCGAAAGACGGGUGAGAAUCCCGUCCACCGAUUGACUAAGGUUUCCAGAGGAAGGCUCGUCCGCUCUGGGUUAGUCGGGUCCUAAGCUGAGGCCGACAGGCGUAGGCGAUGGAUAACAGGUUGAUAUUCCUGUACCACCUAUAAUCGUUUUAAUCGAUGGGGGGACGCAGUAGGAUAGGCGAAGCGUGCGAUUGGAUUGCACGUCUAAGCAGUAAGGCUGAGUAUUAGGCAAAUCCGGUACUCGUUAAGGCUAAGCUGUGAUGGGGAGAAGACAUUGUGUCUUCGAGUCGUUGAUUUCACACUGCCGAGAAAAGCCUCUAGAUAGAAAAUAGGUGCCCGUACCGCAAACCGACACAGGUAGUCAAGAUGAGAAUUCUAAGGUGAGCGAGCGAACUCUCGUUAAGGAACUCGGCAAAAUGACCCCGUAACUUCGGGAGAAGGGGUGCUCUUUAGGGUUAACGCCCAGAAGAGCCGCAGUGAAUAGGCCCAAGCGACUGUUUAUCAAAAACACAGGUCUCUGCUAAACCGUAAGGUGAUGUAUAGGGGCUGACGCCUGCCCGGUGCUGGAAGGUUAAGAGGAGUGGUUAGCUUCUGCGAAGCUACGAAUCGAAGCCCCAGUAAACGGCGGCCGUAACUAUAACGGUCCUAAGGUAGCGAAAUUCCUUGUCGGGUAAGUUCCGACCCGCACGAAAGGCGUAACGAUUUGGGCACUGUCUCAACGAGAGACUCGGUGAAAUCAUAGUACCUGUGAAGAUGCAGGUUACCCGCGACAGGACGGAAAGACCCCGUGGAGCUUUACUGUAGCCUGAUAUUGAAAUUCGGCACAGCUUGUACAGGAUAGGUAGGAGCCUUUGAAACGUGAGCGCUAGCUUACGUGGAGGCGCUGGUGGGAUACUACCCUAGCUGUGUUGGCUUUCUAACCCGCACCACUCAUCGUGGUGGGAGACAGUGUCAGGCGGGCAGUUUGACUGGGGCGGUCGCCUCCUAAAAGGUAACGGAGGCGCUCAAAGGUUCCCUCAGAAUGGUUGGAAAUCAUUCAUAGAGUGUAAAGGCAUAAGGGAGCUUGACUGCGAGACCUACAAGUCGAGCAGGGUCGAAAGACGGACUUAGUGAUCCGGUGGUUCCGCAUGGAAGGGCCAUCGCUCAACGGAUAAAAGCUACCCCGGGGAUAACAGGCUUAUCUCCCCCAAGAGUUCACAUCGACGGGGAGGUUUGGCACCUCGAUGUCGGCUCAUCGCAUCCUGGGGCUGUAGUCGGUCCCAAGGGUUGGGCUGUUCGCCCAUUAAAGCGGUACGCGAGCUGGGUUCAGAACGUCGUGAGACAGUUCGGUCCCUAUCCGUCGUGGGCGUAGGAAAUUUGAGAGGAGCUGUCCUUAGUACGAGAGGACCGGGAUGGACAUACCUCUGGUGUACCAGUUGUCGUGCCAACGGCAUAGCUGGGUAGCUAUGUGUGGACGGGAUAAGUGCUGAAAGCAUCUAAGCAUGAAGCCCCCCUCAAGAUGAGAUUUCCCAACUUCGGUUAUAAGAUCCCUCAAAGAUGAUGAGGUUAAUAGGUUCGAGGUGGAAGCAUGGUGACAUGUGGAGCUGACGAAUACUAAUCGAUCGAAGACUUAAUCAA